rnacentral:piRNA from 1 species
UGAGAAUCGACAUGUGUGGUGGUAGU